rnacentral:rRNA from 1 species
GGAUUCCCUUAGUAACGGCGAGUGAACCGGGAUGAGCUCAAAUUUAAAAUCUGGCGUCUUUCAGGCGUCCGAGUUGUAAUCUAUAGAGGCGUUUUCCGCGCCGGACCGCGUCCAAGUCUCUUGGAAUAGAGUAUCAAAGAGGGUGACAAUCCCGUACUUGACGCGACAACCGGUGCUCUGUGAUACGUUCUCAAUGAGUCGAGUUGUUUGGGAAUGCAGCUCUAAAUGGGUGGUAAAUUCCAUCUAAGGCUAAAUAUUGGCGAGAGACCGAUAGCGAACAAGUACCGUGAGGGAAAGAUGAAAAGCACUUUGGAAAGAGAGUUAAACAGCACGUGAAAUUGUUAAAAGGGAAACGAUUGAAGUCAGUCGUGUGAAAGGUAUUCAGCCGUCUCUGGCGGUGUAUUUGCCUUUCACGGGUCAACAUCAGUUUGAUCCGGUAGAAAAAGGCGGGAGGAAGGUGGCACCCUCGGGUGUGUUAUAGCCUCCUGUCAUAUGUGCCGGACCAGACUGAGGAACGCAGCUUGCCGCAAGGCCGGGGUUCGCCCACGUACAAGCUUAGGA